AAGAGGUUGAGAUCCAUCUCACUUCUGGAAAUUUAAAUAUUGCAUACAUAGAGAGCAAUUAUGGUCUUUCUAUUUGUUCGAUAAUCGUUUGGAUGCCUUAGAACAUCUUUUGGCAACUAUAAGAUGGGACUAUGGGAGACUUCAUGCUUGUGGACCAGACACUGGAGGCUAGAUGGUGUAUCACCUUCUAGAGGCCAAGAAGCCAGAAAAACAACAGCACUUAAAGGAACCUUGUAUUAGUUUAAGUUCUGAGGGAAGAACCGUGAGCGGUUUUUGCAAGGUGAAACCCAUUCUUAUGGGUACAUGAGAAAUUCCCUGCUGGAGAGCUCCAAAGACAUUUGUGUCAUGUCUGUGGUACAAAAGCCUUUGUACAGGACCCAUUCAUGAGGG